GACGAACGCUGGCGGCGUGCUUAACACAUGCAAGUCGAGCGGAAAGGCCCUUCGGGGUACUCGAGCGGCGAACGGGUGAGUAACACGUGAGUAACCUGCCCUAGGCUUUGGGAUAACCCCGGGAAACCGGGGCUAAUACCGGAUAUGACCUGGUGCCGCACGGCGUUGGGUGGAAAGUUUUUUCGGCAUGGGAUGGGCUCGCGGCCUAUCAUCUUGUUGGUGGGGUGAUGGCCUACCAAGGCCAUGACGGGUAGCCGGCCUGAGAGGGCGACCGGCCACACUGGGACUGAGACACGGCCCAGACUCCUACGGGAGGCAGCAGUGGGGAAUAUUGCACAAUGGGCGGAAGCCUGAUGCAGCGACGCCGUGUGAGGGAUGAAGGCCUUCGGGUUGUAAACCCCUUUCAGCAGGGACGAAGCGUGAGUGACGGUACCUGCAGAAGAAGCGCCGGCCAACUACGUG
rnacentral:rRNA from 1 species